rnacentral:rRNA from 1 species
ACAAGCAGCGGAGCGUGUGGUUAAUUCGAUGCAACACGAAGAACCUUACCAGGGCUUGACAUGUUAGAAGUAGGAACCCGAAAGGGGGACGAACCAGGAUCCAAUCUGGAGCUAACACAGGUGCUGCAUGGCUGUCGUCAGCUCGUGCCGUGAGGUGUAUGGUUAAGUCCCACAACGAGCGCAACCCUCGUCGCUAGUUAAUUUCCCUAGCGAGACCGCCUCGCAAAACGAGGAGGAAGGCGGGGAUGGCGUCAAGUCAGCAUGGCCUUUAUACCCUGGGCGACACACACGCUACAAUGGGUGGUACAGUAGGUAGCGAAGGAGCGAUCCGGAGCAAAUCCUUAAAACCAUCCUCAGUACGGAUUGCAGGCUGAAACCCGCCUGCAUGAAGCCGGAGUUGCUAGUAACCGCAUAUCAGCAUGGUGCGGUGAAUACGUUCUCGGGCCUU